CCUCGCCAUGUCAGCAGCACCACGACCUUCGUACCUACAACGAACUAUCAACUCACAGUAGAUUGACAGCAAAUAGAUCUAAGGGAAAAUUUUUUGUAUUUAUUAUUAUUAUUCUUUUUAUUCGACUAUAAAGGCCAGUGAAAUCGAAUGUAAAGAGGAUCUUUUCCACAAAAAAAUACAAUACAGAUACAGAAAAACAAAGAGCAGGAUUUGACUUUUUCAAAUACAAUGAGAUUUUCCAUUUUUCUUCUCUUUAAGAGGUGAUUGGUGAUUCUGAUUUUCCUUUUUAAGUUUUUUACAACAAAAGAAAAAGAGCAAAAAGAGUGAAAAUAUCAAAGGUACCUUCUUCGGCCAUCGUUAUUCACGAUCGAAAUGGAUUAGCGGCGCAUUUGAGCCCUAGCAGAGGAGAAAAGGAAAAAACCCUUCUGCUCCUUUCGAUUUUGAGGCAAAUGCCUUUGAAGGGAAGGUUUCUUUGUUUCUUAUGCAUAAAACAAAUGGCGCUGUUUAAUGAGUGAAAGAACCAGCGCGUCGACCCGACCCAUAGUCGGAUCCGAGCAUUUUAUUCUAAAAGGGGAUAAUUGUGCGAUUUGUCCCUCCCUUUCGCGCUACUAUUCGGUUGGGCCCAAUUUGAAUUUGCUUUAUUUUUAAUUUUUUAUGGAAAUUUGCGUGUUGUUUCAAAUUAACCUGCGCUUAAACGUUUCGUUUUGGAAUUUGGUCCAUUUGCAUUUUUAAUCCUUGAUCAUUUGAGCGCAUUUUAUUCCAGUCCUAAAUUCUAUUUUAACAAUCUGAUUUAUUUGUAAAUUAUCCUUCUGAUCUUGUUUUUAUUCCAAUUAAGUUUCUUAGUUUAUAUUUUUGUAUUUUUAUGAAUUAUUCAUCAUUCAUUUUUUGACAGAUUAACUUAAUAUAUUAUUUUGAAUUAUUUUAUUGAUUUCACUAUUCUAGUUUCAUCUCCUUUUGUAUAUUUUUAUUUUGUUUUAUCAUAUAACUUGUUUAUUUCAAAAUUCUCUUUUAUGAACAUUCUUUGCUUCAAAUAUUAUAUUAUUUUUGUAUAUAUUAUUUAUAUUAAACUAUUUGUAUUUUAUGUACAUUAUUUAUUCAUAUAUAUAUUGUUUUGUAUAUAAUUUAUAUUGUUUCUUCAUAAAAUUAUUUUUUUACACUUAUAUAUACGUAAAUGUUUCCUAUAUCAUCAGUUUUAAAUUGUUGUUCAUUAUGUUUUUUUUGUACAUAUUGUUGAUUUUAUAUUAUUUUAUGUAAAUAUUUUCUUUUAAAUCUUUAUGUAUAUAUAUAUCUUCUUUUAAAUUUAUUUAUGUAUCUAAUCUAUUUAUUUAUAUAUAUUUUAUUUAUAUUAAAUACUUUCACAAAUUAGCUUAUUUGUAUAUACAUUAUUUAUAUUAAGUUUUCAGUUUCAUAUAUAUCAUUAGUUAAAUCAAUUUGUUUUAUUUGAAAUUAUUCUAUAUAUUAUUAUUUUGAAUUUCUUUUUACAUAAUAUAUAUUCUAAUAAUCAUUUAUGUUUUACUAGUUUUAUAUACAUAUAAAAUAUUUCGAAUCCUAGCAUGUGUUAUUCCUUUGUAUAUGUUUCAUAUGAUUUUUAAAUUGUUUUGUAAUAUGUUGGCUCCUAGUUUUCGUAUUGUUCUGCAUAUUAUAUGUCAUUUUUUAGUUUUUAUGUUAUUUCACAUAUUAUUGUUACGCAUUAUUUUAUUCGUUUUUUUUAUAAUUAUAUCAAUUGUUAUUUAUCCAUGCUUGAAAAUUUAGUUAUAUUUUUCUUUGAUUAGUUAUAUUCUAUUGUUUGUUUUGUUAAUUUGUUUCUUAAACUUAUAUUAUCUUCAUUCACCAAGUAUAGUACGUUAUUUGUGCAUAUUGUCCCAUGUGUAUAAUUUCGCUUCUAGUUUGCAAAUGUUACUUUGUAAUUUGUAACUUUUUGUUUUAAAAUUAAUUAUUCCAUUUUAUUUCAAGUCAAAUUAAUGCGUUUUGAGCUAGUUUUACAAUUGUUUAUUUGAAAAUUCAUUAAAACGAAAGUAAUGUUUGAUAUUUGGAAAUUCAAGGAAUCGUGCCUUAUCGUUCUGGGUUUCAAUUUCCCGUUUGUUCAAAAUAAUCAAAUAUUUCUUUAGAAUUUAACUCGUGUUUCCUAAAACUCUAAAAUAAGUUAAUAUUCAAUGUUUGGAAAUUCGUGGAAUCGUGCCCAACCGUGCUGGGUUUCGAUUUUUCGUCGAACUAAAUAAUUGGGCAUCCUUUUGUAAUUUCCAAUGUAUAAGCUUUUGGAAGUCGAAAAUUAACUGCGUUUUCGAAGGUAUAAAGGAUCAUGUCCUAUCGUGCUGAAUGUGAUGCUGUAUUUCUUUGAAAAGAGAGAAUUUUGACGACCAACUUGAGCCACUCAAAUGUUUUAAAAGGAACCAUAUUUCAAAAUCUUUUUAAAUCUUAGAUAUAAGGACAGUACUUAAUCAAUUUGGUACCAAUUCUGGGCGUAGUGAGGGUGCUAAUCCUUCCUCAUACGUAACCGACUCCUGAACUCAUUUUUUUAAAUUUACAUAGGUCAAAAUUGAUUUAAAUGGAAUAAAAUGUUUUAUUAGGUGAUCCAAUCACACCUAAGAAAAAGGAUUGGUGGCGACUCCACACUUUGUUUUAAAAGUUAAUCCCCGUUUUUUUCGAAAAUAAAAAAAUGGUUUCGACAGCUUGACGACUCCACUGGGGACUGAAUAAGAGAGUCAAGCUAUAAAAUUGAUUAAUUUCUGUCCUUUUGUCUAAAAUUGGAAAUUUGAUUUGAAAAUCAUGAUUCUUUGUUGCAUUCGUUUGCAUGAUUGUUAUUGUUCGAAUUUUGUAGUGUACUCUUACAUUACAUUGCAUGACCGUUAUGGUCACACCUUCUAAGUGAGAGUGAGAAACUAUGCCUUCGUGAGGUUUUCAUCUCCGCAUGGGCUAGUGGAUUACUUCCGGGAUACAUCCGUACCUAUGAUUUCGUGAGAUUUUCAUCUCCGCAUGGUCAUAGGAAAAUGUAUUCCCCUGAACUGAACUCGAUCCAUAUGAGCCUAUAAUGGGUGAGGAUUGAGGAAUCUGCUGGUUCAGGUACCCUUUCUCUAGAACCAAGCCACAUAUAGUGAACAUUGAGAAUCCACCUUAGGUAGAACCUUGCCCAAAUUUAGUGGUCACUCGAAUAGGUACUUUAUUUGUUAUUUAUUUCUUCUGUACUAACGUGUUUUGUUUAUAACUGCAUUGCAUUACAUCAUUAUAGAAAGGAGGUGUUGAUUCAUAUUUGAUUGCUAAAUAGAACAGUUUGUCAUAAGAAAACGAAUUUCUUGAUAAAGUGGAUUAUAAUACGGUUGUCUGAAUAUGGUCCAAGUAAACACAAUGGAAAAAGGUUGAUGGUUCGCGGUGGAAAACAAGACUUUACUUGAGGAUUCAAGCUAAUAAAGAUUGUUCGAGAGCUGUCACAUCUCGACUUUCUUAAAGGAGCUAAUCAACAUCGCGAGGAUAAUAAGUCACGGCCUGGAUCAAGCAAAAAGGAGCUAGUGGAGGCAUUUAUUAGAAGCUUGUGAGAUUUGACUUUCACGAAGAAAAGGGAUCAGUUUCUUCGCCUGGAAUAUGAAAACAAGGCCGUAUACGUAAUCCGUUUUAUGUAAAGGAAUUUGUUUUCUAGAAAUGUUGUUUUAAUGGAAUUGAAUUCAAAAUUAACGCCUUUCUUUCUUUUGCAUUCAUCCCAUGCAUUUGCAUUGCAUUCAUCCCAUGCAUUUGCAUUGCAUUGCAUCGUUGCAUCAUUUGCAUUAGAUUUUUAUAAAAGGGUCCCUAAUUAGUUGAAAUUAUUUUAGUUAAUCUGGGAACCAGUAAAAAUUUACCAACCAAGCGUCGUUACGGUACCCGUGCUAACGCAAAAGAUAUGGACCAAAAAUUGGAAAGACUUGAACAACUUCAAAGAGAGAUGCAAGACCAGUUACAAAUACAGAUGUAAGAGCAACUGGCGAGGACUCGGCAGGAUAUAAGAGACCAGGUGUUAGAGUCUCAAAGGAAUAUGAUGAAUCAGUUGUCCCAAUUUUUGACUAUGGGGCUUGAAGAAAGAAAAAGUUUCAUGAUUAAUGUUGGGGAGAACAAUGAGGAGUCACUCUACCCUCCAAGUUUCAUCCCGAAAAAUGCUCAGACAUGUCCGCAAGGUGUACCUAUUAUUAGAACUUAGCAAUAUCAGGCUGGCACCUCGGCACUAGUGGAUUACCCGAUAGGCUCAGGCUCUAGUCCGGGGGGCAACCCAACCAAUCUUGAAGUUCCUGAUCUAGAUGAAACGGAAAAAGUAAAGAGGGAGUUGCUAAGACAUUUUGAAGAUGGUAUAAGUGGUUGGAGGAAAAAUUUAGGGCAAUGGAGAAUGUUGACUUCUACUGUGGGAUUAACGCCAAGGAUCUGAGUUUGGUCCCUGGUCUACUAUUCCCGCCAAAAUUUAAGACUCCAAACUUUGAAAAGUACAAUGGGACUAGUUGUCCAAAAGCUCACAUCACAAUGUUCUGUUGAAGGAUGACAAGAUAUGUUAGUAAUGACCAAUUAUUAAUUCAUUGCUUCCAAGACAGUUUGACCGGGUCAGCAACUAAAUGGUACAAUCAAUUGAGUCGUGCUAAAAUCAAUUCAUGGAAGGAUUUAGGACAGGCUUUUAUGAAGCAGUAUAGCUAUGUAAUAGACAUGACACCCGAUAGAAUUACCUUGCAGAAUAUGGAAAAAAGCAAAAUAAGAGCUUCAGGCAAUAUGUCCAAAGAUGGAGAAAGGUAGCAGCACAAGUCCAACCACCUCUUUUAGAAAAUGAGACUACGAUGCUUUUCAUCAAUACUUUGAAAGCCCCGUUCAUUGACUAUAUGUUGGGAAGCGCUAUGCUGAGUUUUUCAGAUAUAGUAAUGUCCGCUGAGAUGAUUGAAAGCACGGUAAGAAAUGGACAGAUAGAUGCAGGAGAGAGUGUUAAAAGGUCAACCCCGAUGAACAAGGAAAAUAAAGUAAACAUCGUGAGCUUGCCUUCUAAAUUGGUCAACAUAGGCCAGCCGAGGGCUGUAACCACUAGUUAUCAAAGAGAAUUUGAAUGACAUAUCCAAAGAGGGAACCAGGGAAUAAAAGUUUCCAAACCCUUAUGUACUUAGGGAUGUUUUAAGCAAUGGGACUGUGGAAGAAAUCCCAGUAUUUUUUAGAGCUGAUCUAGAGUAAUAUUCAAAACACGCUUGUUGCUUUAAGCCUAAGGGCAAUAAGAAUCCUUUUGUGAAAUAGGCUUGUGUCCAAAAAAUUUUAUUUCAAUAAAAUGCAUUCUUUUUGAAUAAAUAUUCUUUCAUUCUUUAUAUAUUCUUUUGUUCUUUGGACUGUCUUUUAAAUAUGUUUUCAUUCUUCAUUCGUGAUUAUACCAUACAAAUAAUCAUCCUUAGAAUCAUUUAUUCUUUGGAAUUUGCCUUUGUGCCUACAACAGGUCCCCAGAUAUCAACGACAUGAGCAACGUUGUAACUGACUCCCUUUUGGGGUGAGAUAUGUGUUUAAGUGGAUCUCAGAACUUUGAAGAUGAUAGAGAUUGUGACUAAUUUCCUGAUUUGUUAAGGACGAUAGAACAAGAUAAAACACGGAUCCUACUUUACGGAGGAUCAAUAGACAUUGUGAGUAAGAGGCAAAGAUCGAAGCCUGAGUCACCACAAACACAAAGCGAAUCGUCAUUGAGUUAUUCCAAGAAUUCAAAGAUGUUAUCGCAUAAUCAUGUCAGGAUAUACUUGGGAUACUAAGACUUGUGGACGCUAAAUAAUGUCUAUACGGGUGUCAGAAUGACACAUGUUAAUGGUUUCAUGGUAGCUACACUAAUUAUGAGGUUUGGUUACUGUUGAUCCAUCAUGGAAGGGGAUUGAGUUAGUUAGGCUAUAUUUAGGGAAACAAAAUUCAUGUGCCUCAUUCAUUUCUUCACAGAUUUUCUCUAUGUGGGGCAUGGAUGCUAUCAUGCCAUUCUCGUCUAAUAUACAUUGAUUCAUCUUGGCAAUCAUUGAUUACUUCACAAAGAGGGUGAAGUUCGCUUCAUAUGCCAAUAUUACAAGGUCGAUAGUCAUCAAAUCUCAAAAAAAAAAAGAAAAAGGGUUGCUGACAAGUAAUGUCAAAAAAGGAUCGCUUCUAAUACAACUGCACAAUGUCAAAAGUUUGCAGUCUGUUCAAAGAUCAGACACUAUAUCACAGUGUAGCAAAGGCAUCCAAAAAGAAAAAACAAAAGUACAAAAAAAGAAAAAAAAAAGAAAAGAAAAAGUAAUAAAACGAUAAAACAAAGGUCAUAGUGAAGGACAACCUUGUAAGGAUUGGCAUAAAGAAGUUAUCAUUUACCUUUUAUGCUUACCGAACGUCGGCUAGGACCUUCUCUGGGGCAGCACAUUGCUCAUUGGUUUAUGGGAUAAAAAUAGUUUUGAAGACGAGAUUCUUUUGCUCCGAGUCUUGUCAGAGUUGAAGUUGGAUAAGGCAGAAUGGAUCAAAGCUUGAUAUGAUCAAUUGAAUUCGAAGAGACGAAAUUCUGUCGUGGUUUAAUACACCAGAAAUGAAUGAUAUGAGAAAAUUCCAUGAGGGGAACUUGAUAUUGAAGAAGAUCCUUCUUAUACAAAAGGACUUCAAAGGAAGAAAUAUGCCAAACUAAGAGGGACUUUAUAUAGUAAAGAAGACCUGUUCUGGAGGAGCAUUGAUAUUGACCGAAAUGAUUUGCCUAGUUUGAGGAAUUCAAAAUGCAGUCAAAGAGUAUUCUACCUAAAAUGGGAGAGGCCAAGGUGAAAACCUGCAAAGGGCGCUUUGAGACAUUAAAAAAUAUCGAAAUGUAAAAUCAAAAUCAAAUGAAAAAAUUAAAAAAAAAGAAAAUAAAAAAAAUAAAAAUAAAAAAAGAAGAAAGAAAAGGAGAGGCUAAGGCAAAAACCCGCAAAAGGCGCUUUGAGACCAAAGGGGAUUUGAGUUGAAAACCCGAAAAGGCAGCUUAAAUUUGUAUCAAAAUAGGGCAUACAGUAGUUUUGCUAUGCCUGAAUUAACAAUAAAAGAAGUAUGUUACGUCUUAGGGCAUCGACAAAGUACUUCGGAUCCCUUAAACACAGAUUAAACUUAGAAUGGUCCUCAAGAAGUUGGUACAGAGAAGCUCAAGCUGUGAUAUCUGGGCACUUAGCUUUCCAUUUUUACACAUUUUUUUAUUAUCUUAUUCUUUUCAGGUCAUGUCCCAAUAAAUUUCUUUCUUGGUUACAUUUGCUUAUUUGUUUCGAGAUAUGUUCUCAAUUAAUUCCUUUCUUGUCCAUGGUCAUGAUCUUUUUCAAGCAUUUUGCAUUGAAAUAACGAUUUUUGGACUAAUAAUACUUUCAUAAAUGGAGUUUCGCAUAUUACUUUAGGAAGUUUCUAAAUAAUACAGGAGCCUGAAACAGGACUAUUGUUUAAAACUCACCAAGCUUAAGGGUUGGAAAUAUUUAAGCCCAAAUUGAGAUUAUCUCCUUAAAUUUUCUGUCAAAGAUAUUAAUAAGUGUUAUAAUCCCGGCAAAGAAUGAGCAAUGGGAUUAUUCUCGAAAAAAGAAAAUGGUAUUCUAUAUUCAUGCAGAUAUUAGGCAUAUACGUCUGUUCAUUAUACCCAGGAGAUGGUAUAACAGAUCAAAUUGAUUGAAGAUAAUGCAAAUCCUAUACCUCUGAGUUGCCACAAGAUGGAUAAAAGAAAUCAAAUGAUUAUUCCCCUGAGGUUGCAAUGGGAAGUUCAAACUUUAUGUCCCAGAAGUUAUAGUGUAAGGACUCUGAAAUUAUAGCGGGGCAAGCUUGCUGAGCAGAAUGUGAUUGUUUUUUUGGGUUUUUCUGUCAAGAAUACCAGCCGAACAAGAUGGCAGCAUAAUAAAUCAGUGAUAGUGCCCUGGUGAACAACGAGCGAUGAUACCUUAAGCAUUUAAAAAAAGAUCAUUUAAAAAGAUCAUUCUCAUUUUUGCAUUCAUAUAUCAUUCAUAGCACAUCUAGUUAGGAGCAUUUGAUUCAUUUCGAUCAUAGCAUCCUAAUUAUUUGACAUAAGCAUCACAUCUAGUUAGGAGCAUUUGAUUCAUUUCGAUCAUAACAUCCUAAUUAUUUGACAUCAGCAUCACAUCUAAUUAUGAGUAUUUGAUUCAUUUUGAUCAUAGCAUCUUAAUUAUUUGACAUAAGCAUGAUACAUGAAACCGAGUCUACAGGACAUAUCCAAGAGGACGGUGUAGUAACAUCGGUGAAGUCAGAUCUUAUCUCCCUGAAGUUGCAGUGGAGCAGACCAAAGAUGGCGAAUCUUAUCUCCAUGUAUCGGCAAUGGAGCAGAUUUUAGCCGCUAGCCUUAUCUUUCUGAGGUAGCAAGAGAGCAGGUUGAAGAUGGUGGUCUUAUCUUCCUAAGGUAACAAGGAAGCAGACUGAAGAUUGAAGAUCUUGUCUCUCUAAGCAGUAGUGGAGUAGAUCGAAGAUGGCGAAUCUUAUCUCCAUGUAUCGGCAAUGGAGCAGAUUUUAGCCACUAACCUUAUCUCCCUGAGGUAGCAAAAGAGUAGGUUGAAGAUGGUGGUCUUAUCUUCCUGAGGUAGGAACGAAGCAGACUGAUGAUUGUAAAUCUUAGCUCCCUAAGCAGUUGAGAAGCAAAUCGAAUACGGCGAAUCUUAUCUCCAUGUAUCGGAAAUGAAGUAGAUUUUAGUCACUAGCAUUAUCUCUCUGACGUAGCAAAAAAGCAGAUUGGCGAUUGUAGGCUUAUCUUCUUGAGGUAACAAGGAAGCAAACUGAAGAUUGAAGAUCUUAUCUCUUUAAGCAGUUGGGAGCAAAUUGAGGAUGGCGAAUCUUAUCUCCAUGUUUCGGCAAUGGAGCAGAUUUUAGCCACUAGCCUUAUCUCUCUAAGGAAGCAAGAGAGUGGGUUGGCGAUUGUAGUCUUAUCUUCCUGAGGCAGCAAGGAAGCAGACUGAAUAUUGAAGAUCUAUUUUCCUAAGCAGUUGUGGAGCAGAUCGAGGAUGGCGAAUCUUAUCUCCAUGUAUCAGCAAUAGAGCAGAUUUAAGCCACCAUCCUAUUUCCUUAAAGUUACAGUCAAGAUUCAGCAAAACAGGGCAAAAUUGGCCCUAUUUGAAGUCUUUGCUCUAUUCUCGUUACACGACAAUAAGUAAAGAGGGACAGCUGUAAUAGGCCCAUUUCGCAUGGGCCCAUAAAAAAACGAAAAAAACAAAAAAAAACCAAAAUAAAUAAAAUAAAAUAAGGUCCAAAGUCCAACAUUACAAAAAGCCCAGCUUUUAGCCUAAUACCAAAUUUACAUUUAACCCACAUACAAUUGAAGCCCAAAUUUUAAACUCAUUUUACAAUAAGGCCCAAUCUUAAAACAGCCCAAAUGGCCCGGGCAAAUUGAAACUUCUGGAACCUUAGGGUUCCCUUGCGCCGCAGCCUUCACAAGCGGCCUCUCCACAUCGCACGUGCUCCUCCGUUCCUCCGUACACCCCACGAACGGCCUCACCAUGUCAGCAGCACCACAACCUUCAUACCCACAACGGACUAACAACUCACAACAGAUUGACAGCAAAUAGAUCUAAGGGAAAAUUUUUUGUAUUUAUUAUUAUUAUUCUUUUUAUUCGACUAUAAAGGCCAGUGAAAUCGAAUGUAAAGAGGAUCUUUUCCACAAAAAAAAUACAAUACAGAUACAGAAAAACAGAGAGUAGGAUUUGACUUUUUCAAAUACAAUGAGAUUUUCCAUUUUUCUUCUCUUUAAGAGGUGAUUGGUGAUUCUGAUUUUCCUUUUUAAGUUUUUUACAACAAAAGAAAAAAAGCAAAAAGAGUGAAAAGAUCGAAAGUACCUUUUCCAGCCAUCGUUAUUCACGAUCGAAAUGGAUUAGUGGCGCAUUUGAGCCCUAGCAGAGGAGAAAGGGAAAAAACCCUUCUGCUCCUUUCGAUUUUGAGGCAAAUGCCUUUGACAGGAAGGUUUCUUUGUUUCUUAUGCAUAAA
rnacentral:lncRNA from 1 species